CCAAAGAGAAGCAAACACAGAAAAGUCUUCCCAGUUACUCGCAGCCGGGAAGGCAUUGUCGAUCAAGGAACAAAAGGCGCGAGUUGGACCCCAAGGCCUCUCCGGCACACCCGGCCGCACCUCGGCCCCGCCCCAGCCUCUCUGGGAGCUCGGUUCCUCCCGCCCUCUUUGUCUGGCUUCACUGCUCAGCCUAAAGGCAGCUGCGCUAUGUAAAACGUCCACCAAGCAUCAAGCUUAAGGGCUCUCUUGUGUUCCUGAGGAUAAAAAGGCGCCGGGGGGUGCGUAACGCAGAAAUAGAUUAGCUUCAUGCAGGUGGGAGUCCCAGUGCCGCUGGGCGUUCGCUCUGCGUUAGAGAAUCGGCUCUAUCUACUGUACGCAGCUGACAAAAGGGAGGCCAGGGAUUCGCAGAAGAUGCACCUUGUGUUUACUCGAGGGCAAUGGUUUGGAGUUUGUUAAUGCAGCGCGCACAGUGCAUUUAUAGACACCUCCUUAUAACAAGCUUGAAUAAUGAGAAGCACAGUGAUCUGAGGUGCACUAUUGGAUGACCCUUUACCUCCGUACGCAUCCAUCACGUAGGCAACCAAGGGAACAUUUCCCACCCCUGAAAGAUCCCAGCGGUACCCAUAAUACUGUGUACCCAUAAUACUGACUGUUUGUUAGCUUUGCCUCCUCUUGUACUUAUACAAAGACAA